UUAAAAUAUUGUCAAAUAUAAAAAUUAUUGAUACAAUUAUUAUAUUGAGAAAUUUGUUAUUACGAUAUACGUUUGAAAAUUUGUACGAUCAUUAGAUAGAUAAAUACAUUAUGGAAUAGAGAAGGGAUCCUUAUGAAACAGAAAAAAAAAUAAAUAAAUAAAUAAUAAAUCUGUGUAAGUAUUCAGAAAAAAAAAAAUAAAUAAAUAAAUAAUAAAUCUGUGUAAGUAUUCAUAGGAACGUCAAUAUUCCUUCGAUGCUCACUAACUGCUGCCCCGUGAGAUCUCUCGACAUCGCAACAAACAAAAAAAAAAAAAAGAAGACAAAAAAAGGAAGAGAGAAUAUCUCAAAAAAAAAAAAAAAAAGAACAAAAGAAAAAGAAAAACAAAAACAAAACAAAAAAGAACAGAAAAGACUACUCGGGCACGUGUCGGCGAAUGACUUUCAGUCCCAUUAGCGUACAAACGUUCGACGACGUGAGGAAGGACCCGCGACGAUAACACGAAUCAUAGCUCGGAUCAUAACUCGGAUCAUAGUAAUCCGGACUGGCAGUGCGCCGCCAUCCGUGAAACGUCGGAUCGCUGUUAACCUUCUUGCGGUGAGUGGCGCGAGGGUGAACACACCACCGAAGUACUCCCUAAUGGAUGACGAAGGAAGGAGGGUUUGGCGAGCAUAGAAAGGGAGAGAGAGAGAGAGAGGACUUUCUAUCCUGAGUUGGAAGCGAGGAUACGAAACGAGUGACACUGCGAGAACGCAUUGUGAGAGACGAGCUUGUGCGUCGCGUCGAGGGCUGCGAACGAUACCAUUCGUCCUCGCGAUCAUAUAUAUGUAUGUAUAUAUACAUAUAAAUGUGUGUACCUAUAGGUAUAUACCCUGUGUAUGUACAGUUACUUUCUUCGUUGAAUCUUCAACAUGUGAGAAACUCACGAUUACGGGGAGAAUCCUUUUUUCUAUAUUUUUAUUAAUGUAAAUGGUAACGGUGUUAUUCGACAAAUUUGUCGAGACAUUAUAACGUUCAUUCUUCUUUUUUAUUUAUUUAUUUAUUUAUUUAUUUAUUUAUUAAUCUCUGAAUGAGCAUCUAAUCAAAUGAUAAAUAAUCCUUCCCUAUUCGUAGAUGAAAUUUACCUCUAGAAACGAUUCGUUUGCGUUUACAACGAUAUGCAACUCGAUAUGUAGAGAUAGUCGAAGUAGGUAAAAGAGAAAGAGAGAGAGAGAGAGAGAGAGAGAAGGAGAAGCACUUUACUAACGUAAACUCGUAGAAACUUUGCGAUGGAAUUUACUCGUUCCUUUCCCGUAGAUACGUGUCAAUGACACCCCUUGUGUCGCAUAUUUCACGCAUCCUUGGUGGUAAAUUGAAGAGAACCCUUUUCGUAUAUCUAUCUCUUUUAUUUUCCUUACCUCGAAGAUCAUGGAUGUUGCAAGGAAAAAAAAAAAUAAAGGACAGAAGAAGAAAAACAAAAAGAAAAACGAACGAACGAACAAACAAGCACUAACAGAAAUACAAAAAAAAAAAAAAAAAAAAAACAAACAAACAAACAAAGAAAUAUGACACAAGUUUCACGCUUCCGCGUGUCUAAACUUGAACGAGAGAAACCGUAUCGGAUUAUAGCAUGGUGUACCUACUCGAGAUAAAACAAUGAAUGACACAGCAGCAGCCUUUUUACAACGAACACAAUGCUACUAGAAUGACACAAUUAGGUGUUUUUGCAGUACGCUCAACGUCGCUACAACGAUGACACAAACUAUCUCUUCUGUACCUUAUAUGCUAUAAUAUACGAGGAACCGACCGUUGGCGCAUACGUGAGAGUGAAGAUAUUACUCGUAGGUUCGAUGCACUUUGCGAAUGGCCCGUGCGAUAAUAUCACAGGUGGAUGUCUCGUCGUCGUCGUUGUCGACGUCGUCGUCGUAGUCGUCGUUGUUUACGUCGUUGAAGAAAUAAGUAAGUAUGUAAGUAAGUAUCGACGGAUUAAUCAUGUGACGAGGUCGGCUAAAAAGAAUAAGAAUAAGAAUAAGAAUAAGAAAAAGAAAAGAAGAGAAAACAUGUUGAUCUCACGUGUAAAAAUAAACGAGAAUAACACUUACGGCCGCUCCUUUCUUAUUAGUCGAUCCAUUCUGGGGAAGAAAAAAAAAAAAAAAAAAAAAACAUUAACGAACAAACAAAAACAAAAAUAAAUAAAUAAAUAAACACAAAUACGAAUGAAUUCAUUUCGUUUGAAAUUUUUCAAAAGAUCUCUUUGUAGAUAUUACUAAGAAAAUUAAAGAACGAUCCUUUCGAUCGGUCGAGAAUUUAAUGGGUGAUGCACGUUCAUCUUAAAAAAAAAAAAAAAAAAAAAAGAAAAAGAGAAAGAAAGAAAGAAAAAAAAUUUA